UUAAGGUAGUUUGGUAAAAUGCCUUAUUCCAAUGGCCUAAGAUAAUAUCAAGCAACUCACUGGUUUACUUUUCUAACCAGCUGUGGUUAAGACACACACGGCAAUGUGCUAUCUUUCACAUGUUGGACGUUAAACCCAGACCAACUCCCCAAAUCUAAUUUGUUUCAGUAAUUUCUGAAUGCAUUGACCAAGAUAUUCCUUUCAUCUCUGGUUGAGUUUCUUCCAUUAGAAGGAAGGAUUAAACCUUGGAUAAAAGAUUUGCAGAUGCCCCAGUGGUUAGUAGAGGUGAAAAUGGAGGUUUCAGGGAAACUGCUGGGGCCUUUUGCCUUUGUCCUCAUCCAAAGCAUUUUGUGCCUCUCUUUCUUCUCCUCUGGCUGAAUAUCCACUGGAGAUUGAAUUCUCCGAAACUCCCUGUGUGGGUGAAGUGGGAAGCUGUGCCCAGGAAGGGGAGUAACUGUGCAAAGUUUUAUGCAGUCAGUGCCAGAAUUGGAUUACAUCACCUGGGGGAGGCGCCUUCAGGACCAGGAAAUGGUACAUGGAGCUUUGAGGUGAAAACUCAUCUUAGAAACCCACAAAAAGUCAUUCCCCCAGCCUGACAUCAGGGACAGACCACACCCAUGGGGCAGAAACCGGGCUUGGUUGUUGCAGUGGGAAGAGAAGGCACGACUCUGGUGCACCGAGCACCUUUCCUCGUGGCUGUUUCCAGGCACUGGGCUGGAUGUCCUCAGAACCCCCUGUCCCCUGCCCACUCCUCAAACCCUUACUGACCCACCCCUCUCGCCUGGUGCUGUCCCAGGCCCUGGGGGUGAGGGGGAGGGGACUCCAACGUGGGCUUGCCCUCCAGUGUGGUGGGAGGGAACCGCGUGGCCACUUGGCUUAGCCGUGCUCAUGGUGCAGACGUGGAACGCGGAGGCAGGGAGAGGCUCCGUGACGUCCCCAGGGCCCCAGAACGAGGAAGGAGCGGAGUUGGGAUUCCAGCCCAGUUGGACGCUGAAGUCCCUGUUUUGUUUACUGCCUCCUGUUCAUGGCGUAUGAAUGUAUCUGAGAUGCUUUGUAAGGCAUAAAGUGCAAUACUAGCUUAGUGGCUGUUCGUUCAGUGAUUCCUUCUGUUACCAAACAGGUGGCUGAGAUGAGAGGGCAACCCAAGCCUAACGCCCUUCAGUGGCCUUGCAUCAGAGUACUCGUGACAGGUACCUCUCCGUGGAGAGGGGCUGUCCUCUGCCCUUGCCUGCUCCUCCUAUUGCAACAGUCCUGUGGACUAGCUCAGGCUCUACAGGGGCUGGUGUGUGUGUGUGCGUGUAUGGUGUAUAUGUGUCUACCUACACACAAGCACAUGUGCACACAUGCACACACAUGCAUGCAAGCACACGCACACACACACAUGCACACACACUCACAUGGACACACACAUACACACACAUACACACACAUACAUGCACACACAUGCACAUGGACACACAUACAUGCACACACAUACAUGCAGGUGUGCAGACUUGGCUCCAGGCGUGUGUUUGAUAGUAUUAUUCUAUGAUAUUUCCCUCAUCUCCAUAGAAUACCAGCUUCUGAAUCCUCAAUCAGCCUUUACUGCAAGAAGAAAAGAAAAACCUCUCUCAUUCCAGGUCUGUGGUGCAGAUGGGAAGAGUAUAGUCAAAACCCAUUAAGGCCUUAGUCAAAUGCCAGCCGAAUUAGAACGCAAUGAACGUUAGACAAAACAACCCAACUGGCCAGGCGGGGGAGGCGCAGAGCGUAUAAAUAUAAAGUUAGAUACUUAUAAAGAAUAAAGACUCUAAUAAAAUAUUUUAUAUAAAACUUUUUA
rnacentral:lncRNA from 1 species